rnacentral:rRNA from 1 species
GAUGAACGCUGGCGGCGUGCCUAAUACAUGCAAGUCGAGCGAACGGACGAGAAGCUUGCUUCUCUGAUGUUAGCGGCGGACGGGUGAGUAACACGUGGAUAACCUACCUAUAAUACUGGGAUAACUUCGGGAAACCGGAGCUAAUACCGUAUAAUAUUUUGAACCGCAUGGUUCAAAAGUGAAAGACGGUCUUGCUGUCACUUAUAGAUGGAUCCGGGCUGCAUUAGCUAGUUGGUAAGGUAACGGCUUACCAAGGCAACGAUGCAUAGCCGACCUGAGAGGGUGGUCGGCCACCCUGGAACGGGGACAGGGUCCAGACUCCUACGGGAGGCAGCAGUAGGGAAUCUGCGGCAAUGGGCGAGAGCCUGACGGAACAGCGCCGCGUGAGUGAUGACAGUCUUGGGAUCGUAAAACUCUGUUAUUAGGGAAGAACAUAUGUGUAAGUAACUGUGCACAUCUUGACGGUAACUAGUAAGAAAGCCACGGCUAACUACGUG